GACGAACGCUGGCGGCGUGCUUAACACAUGCAAGUCGAACGGAAAGGCCCUGCUUUUGUGGGGUGCUCGAGUGGCGAACGGGUGAGUAACACGUGAGUAACCUGCCCUUGACUUUGGGAUAACUUCAGGAAACUGGGGCUAAUACCGGAUAGGAGCUCCUGCUGCAUGGGGGGGGUUGGAAAGUUUCGGCGGUUGGGGAUGGACUCGCGGCUUAUCAGCUUGUUGGUGGGGUAGUGGCUUACCAAGGCUUUGACGGGUAGCCGGCCUGAGAGGGUGACUGGCCACAUUAGGACUGAGAUACGGCCCAGACUCCUACGGGAGGCAGCAGUGGGGAAUAUUGCACAAUGGGCGGAAGCCUGAUGCAGCAACGCCGCGUGCGGGAUGACGGCCUUCGGGUUGUAAACCGCUUUCGCCUGUGACGAAGCGUGAGUGACGGUACUGGGUAAAGAAGCACCGGCUAACUACGUG
rnacentral:rRNA from 1 species